GGUGGGACCCGCGGAUUUUGAGUAAAAUUACUAGCUCUAUUGGCAUAUUGUCUUUGAACAAUAUUUGAAUAUGUCAAUCUCUGAAAAAACAUUUUCUCUCUCUAAAAUAAUUUUGGCAAGCCCAUUGUGCUCGGGCGCCGGCAUAGCCUCGCCGGUGUUGGAAGCACCUCAAUUCCUUCUCCUUUGAUCCUUUCUUCUUUCCACUCUCCUCUAGCCCAUCGAUAUGCUUGUUUUUUUGGCCUUUUGUUUUCACCACCUUUCUGUUGCGCUGCUCGAGAGGUUGUAGCUUCGGUGUUGAGUGUUCUGGUGUGGAGUUCCGGCGAGAUAACGGGGUGUGGUGGAGAGGAGUUGGCUUUUUGGAGUUUGGUAGCUCAGAUAUAUUUUCGUUUUCAGAUCUAUUCCUCUUUUAGCAGCAAAUGGUGGGUAGGGUAUCUCUUUUUUGUUCUGCAGUGUUUGCGGGUUGAUGUUGUCCUCGUCCUUUAGUUUGACAGGCUUGGAGAUUUGGUCUCGUGUUCUGAGCAGAGUUUUGGAGGAGUUUUGUCGCGGUUUGUUCCUAGGGGUUUGGAGACAGCGGCCUUUCUUGCUCCAGUUAAGUGUGCACCGAAGGUCCCUUUACUUAGUGGUGUGUGCAGUUUUUAAUCUUUGUUGUUUGGUGUUGAUUGAUUUCUGGGUCGUGUAUGGCCAUGGUGUCUUUGAAGUUCUUUGUCCUUCUUCUCUUCCACCCCUCUAUACCAGAGGCUGCAUUGGUUUUAUGCCAUUGUGGAAAUGAGAAUUUUGUAUAUGGUGUUUGGCUCCCGUUCUUCUUUGCUUGCUUCUUUUCCGUUGUCACUAGUGAAUUGGUUUAAAGUCGUAUUUUAAGAUCUGUUCCUCGGUUCUCAAGAAUAGCAUUAAGCCUUGGCAAUGGAGGUUCGGGGUUUGUCUCCGGCUCUGGGUGUUCAUUGGUGACUCCUAUUGUUUGGAAAGACUCAUCCCAGCACCAAGAUGGUUUGUUGAUCUUAUUAGUGGAGUUGCUUCCUAUUUUUUUGUGCAAGUUGGAGUCUCAAGUCAACGUAGCAGCUUCUAGCUCAAAUCCAUAUUUGGUAAGCUCGAGCUCAAGUGAUGGUUUAGGAUGUGAUGACGAGGAGAAAGUGAAGACUUUAUUCUCCCCUCCCAGUUAAACAAACCAGCCAGGGACACAGAAGUCGGGUCCGUGAUUAUGAUAAGCGGCUUGGAUGCUUGGAUGUGUAUCCUUCUUUGUGUUGGGUCCGGAGCUGUUAAGUAAUGUAUGUGUAUGAUAUCUGGUUGCAGUGUAGUCGGGCAGUUAAGAUUAUACGGAUUUUAUUCAAAUCCCGUUGUAUUCCAAAAGUUUAAGCUCAGUUUGCGAUGAAUUUUUUUAAAAAAGUAAAU
rnacentral:lncRNA from 1 species